rnacentral:rRNA from 1 species
GGCGAACGGGUGAGUAACGCGUUGGGAUAACCUGCCCCUGAACCUGGAAUAACUUCGCGAAAGCGAGGCUAAUACCGGAUAUUGUCCCAGGGACCUUGGUCCUUGUGAUGAAAGAUGACCUCUUCACGAAAGUUGUCGUUCAGAGAGGGGCCCGCGUACCAUUAGCUAGUUGGUAGGGUAAUGGCCUACCAAGGCGAGGAUGGUUAGCUGGUCUGAGAGGAUGACCAGCCACACUGGCACUGAAACACGGGCCAGACUCCUACGGGAGGCAGCAGUGAGGAAUUUUGCGCAAUAGGGGAAACCCUGACGCAGCAACGCCGCGUGAGUGAAGAAGGCCCUCGGGUCGUAAAGCUCUGUCAAGUGGGAAAAAAGCUUGCUGGUAAAUAGCCAGUAAGACUGAUGGUACCAUUGAAGGAAGCACCGGCUAACUCCGUGCCAGCAGCCGCGGUAAUACGGAGGGUGCAAGCGUUGUUCGGAAUUACUGGGCGUAAAGGGCGUGUAGGCGGUGUGGUAUGUCAGAUGUG